CAUACACUUCUAUCGCCACCCUGACAGCAUCUGGCUGACAGCCGCUGGUUGCUCUUAUAGCAGGCUAUGGGAUCUUUAUGGCCUUUUCCAGACAGCAGGUGGAGAACAGACCGAUGACUUCGUACUACAAGGCCUUGAUGACAACCAAAUGGCUGAGCCUCCAUGACUGCCCAGACAUCAAUUCCUAUUCGUAACCUGUUUCAGCUGCCCGUGGGGACUGCCCUGUGGAGUCUGGUUUGGCUCAGAACUGAUAGGAUUCUUAGUCUGGAUUGUGUGUAUUACUAAUGAAAUACACGCUGCCGUAGCAUUAUAAACUCUAGCAUACCCCCCCCCCCCCGGGGUACGGUAUGCUAAGAUGCCAUAUGCUUUUCUCCAUUCCACCCCCGCCCCAACAUUUGGGCUUUAUAAAAGCCAUUAAAGAGUAGGCUCCCAGUGAGGCUUCGUGACUGAGGUCUAGCCGUGCGUGCAUGAGCUGAUCAGCCUUCCAUCCCAGGCAUCGUUUUCUUUAUCGUUGAACAGAAGAUUGGACACCAAUCACACAGCUAUCAGUCACAACUUAAAAAAAAAUAAUAAAUAAAUAAAUAAAUCCUUGGGUAAAAGUCA
rnacentral:lncRNA from 1 species